rnacentral:tRNA from 2 species
GGGGCGGUAGUCUAGUCAGGUUUAGGACACCAGCUUCGGGAGCUGGAGAUCCGGGGUUCGAAUCCCCGCCGCCCCA